GUGGGGAAUAUUGGACAAUGGGCGCAAGCCUGAUCCAGCCAUGCCGCGUGUGUGAAGAAGGCCUUUUGGUUGUAAAGCACUUUAAGCGAGGAGGAGGCUCCUUUAGUUAAUACCUAAAGAGAGUGGACGUUACUCGCAGAAUAAGCACCGGCUAACUCUGUGCCAGCAGCCGCGGUAAUACAGAGGGUGCGAGCGUUAAUCGGAUUUACUGGGCGUAAAGCGUGCGUAGGUGACCAAUUAAGUCAAAUGUGAAAUCCCCGAGCUUAACUUGGGAAUUGCAUUCGAUACUGGUUGGCUAGAGUAUGGGAGAGGAUGGUAGAAUUCCAGGUGUAGCGGUGAAAUGCGUAGAGAUCUGGAGGAAUACCGAUGGCGAAGGCAGCCAUCUGGCCUAAUACUGACACUGAGGUGCGAAAGCAUGGGGAGCAAACAGGAUUAGAAACCCUAGUAGUCC
rnacentral:rRNA from 1 species